CAGAGUUGCAAGACUCCCUAAACCAUUGUGAACCUACCUUCUACCGUUGCUUCGGCGGGCGGGCCCAGCGCCCCCCCGGCCCCCCGCGGGCGCCCGCCGGAGGAUACCCAAACUCUUGACAUUAGUGGCCUCUCUGAGUAUUCUUUCACUGAAUAAGUCA
rnacentral:misc_RNA from 1 species